rnacentral:ncRNA from 1 species
GCCGAUUUGGUCCUAGUCCCAAUCUUAGCUAUUCUUAAGGUGCCACAUGCAAGUCUAUCAGCAAACCAGUGAAGUAAAAUCUUUUACUUAAGAUCACUACAAAGAAACAAAAGUAAAUGACAUCAGUAUCAGGAUAAUAAUAAACUCCAACGACGCUGAGCAAUACGCCACAACUGCAGUGCUAAACAUUGGACAAUCGGAAACAUCCGGAUCCAGCAAAGGAGCCCUAAGGAGGUAAAAUACGUGCCAGCCACCGCGGUUAUACGUACUUCCUAUAGUUAAAUUGAACGGUCUAAAGGGUGGUUAGAAGAAGCAGAUUGACUGUAGCUUUGAGCUAGUGGUAAAAAACUAAUCUCAAAAGAAACUCCAUAGCCAACAUGAACAUUUGACCCCACGAAAACUAAGGCAUAAACCAGGAUUAGAUACCCUGCUAUACUUAGACGUAAACAACCAAAGCACCAGAGAACUACGAACCAAAAGUUUAAAACUCAAAGGACUUGGCGGUUUUCCAAAUCUCCCUGGAGGAGCUUGCCAUUGAAUCGAUAAUCCACGAAACACCUCACCAGCUUUUGUAUGAACCAGCUUGUAUACCAUCGUCGUAAGUCUACUUCUCGAGAAAGUUGACUAAAAGGAAGAUUCCCUAGACGUCAGAUCAAGGUGCAGCUUAUAAGCCGGGAAUAGGUGAGCUACAAUGUUUGACCAAACCAGUGAAAAGGGGAAUGAAACUUCCCUUAGAAAUUGGAUUCAGCAGUAAACCCCACUGAGAAAAUGGGGUUGAAUAGAGCUCUGGAAUGCGUACACAUCGCCCGUCACUCUCGCCUAGCAAUAAAGACAAGCAAGGGGAGAAAAGUCGUAACACAAUAGGCCCACCGGAAGGCGGGCCUGGAAAAU